CAAAUACUCCCUCCCUCCGGAAAUACUUGUCAUCAAAAUGGAUAAAAGGAAAUGUAUCUAGACGUAUUUUAGUUUUAGAUACAUGUCUUUUUAUCCAUUUUGAUGACAAGUAUUUUUGGACGGAGGGAGUAGAAA
rnacentral:pre_miRNA from 1 species